AAAAAGACAAAUCCUGGUUUCCGUGUCCAACAUUUGACCGUCCGUCUUAUUUGAAAAAAAAUAUGAAAAAAUUAAAAAGACAAGUCACGCAUAAAAUAUUAAUCAUGUUUUAUCAUCUAACAACAAUAAAAAUACGAAUUAUAAAAAAAUUUCAUAUAAGACGGACAGUCAAAGUUGGACACGGAAACCCAUGGUUUAUCUUUUU
rnacentral:pre_miRNA from 1 species